AUUGAACGCUGGCGGCAUGCUUUACACAUGCAAGUCGAACGGUAACAGGCCUUCGGGUGCUGACGAGUGGCGAACGGGUGAGUAAUGCAUCGGAACGUACCCAGAGGUGGGGGAUAACGCAGCGAAAGCUGUGCUAAUACCGCAUGUGAUCUGAGGAUGAAAGCGGGGGACCGAGCAGCAAUGUUUGGCCUCGCGCCUUUGGAGCGGCCGAUGUCGGAUUAGCUAGUUGGUGGGGUAAAGGCCUACCAAGGCGACGAUCCGUAGCUGGUCUGAGAGGACGACCAGCCACACUGGGACUGAGACACGGCCCAGACCCCUACGGGAGGCAGCAGUGGGGAAUUUUGGACAAUGGGCGCAAGCCUGAUCCAGCAAUGCCGCGUGCGGGAAGAAGGCCUUCGGGUUGUAAACCGCUUUUGGCAGGAACGAAACGGUGUCCGCUAAUACCGGGCGCUAAUGACGGUACCUGCAGAAUAAGCACCGGCUACUACGUG
rnacentral:rRNA from 1 species